UUUGGUUGGGUUCUUUUAUUCAGCCAGCAUCAUUUGCUACAGCUCCGUAUCACACAGUACAACAAAACAUAACACUGCCAGUCUCAUCAACAACUCUCACUCUUCGGGUUUUUCCCCGGGGAUUUUCUCUGGCUUACUGCCACACACUGGACAACCAUUGCAUUGCUGCAUACUACAAAUAUACAUGCAUGUGCUGAAUAAUUAACUAACCAAUUUUUAAUCAAAUAACUAUCAAAUAGAAAUGACAAAACUAUUAUGGGGGGGGUCUAACUUUUAACUACAAAUUAUAUUUAAUAGUUUUUCCCACAUAAACUAGUUACUUCAACAGCAAAAGUUCAGUGCGAAUCUAAUGAUCAGGUCGGUAAAGUAAGUGUUAUUUAGUUAACUUUCAGUUAAAGAUGUGUGUAGGCUACCACCCAGAUAGCAAAGUUUCUGGCACAAAUCUGGCUUACAUUGGGCAUUUAUGGCUAAAUUUAGGCUCUCUUUUGUUCACACCUUUGUGUGAAACAGCUUUCGGGGGAGUUGUGGGGUGAGGCUAGCCAGCCAAAAGCAAAAGGUGCAUUUUUUGGCCGAGUCCUGGCUUGAUUGUGGUCUGCCAGAAAAUAGUAAAUAUCUGGCUGAGUUCUGGCUAAGGUUUGGUUGGCCAAAGAGUAAAAAAAAACACCAAAACGUUUUUGUAAAUGUAAAAAGUCUAAAUUAAAUGGCUUUGUCAUGUCAAAAACCAUUGACAAUAUUUAUUUAUUAAAUAGCAGACACUUUUCAAAACCUAUUUAUAUAAAAUCAUAUUUACAAUUGAUAAAAACAUCAAAGUUAAUAUUUAAGGCAAUAAUAAAUAUGUUUAUCCUUAUUGAAAGACGAAAUGUAGAAAAUGUUAUUUUGGGCAGUUAAUGCAAAGGUGUCAAUGUGCAAUAAACAAACAAUGCAAUAAACAGAUAAAUGAAUAAUUCAGUCUGCACUAAUAUACAUCAAACAAAAGUAUUUUAAGUAUGUGUGCUUGUUUAAGUCUUUUUAGUUUUGUACUUUUAAACAGUUUUUUUUAUAAAUAAAUAAGACUUUACAUAACAUUGUGUUUACAAUUUAAAAUACGACCAAAUAAUACUAAUGCUGCGUUCCAGGCAACCCGUAACCCGUAACUCACGAGUUCAAAACCACGCCUCACGACUCUGAACUGGGAGUACAUCGAUCUAGUACGAGUUCACGGGUAGGAAGUCACGGGUUUGACUGCCGUUCCAGAGCACUUUCACCGGUAGAAGGUUGUAAAAACACGAGUUACGGGCUGCCUGGAACGCAUGAGGUCGUGAGUCGUGGUUUUGAAGUCGUAACUCACGGGUUUAAAAACCUGCCUGGAACGCACCAUAAUAUUUAUUGGUGUACUUUCGUAUAUUGCAAUGGAUCUUGGAAACAGUAGUCAUUUAACCUCAACAGCGUUCAAUCCGCCGUGGAAAAUGGACUACCUUUCCCAUAAUGCAAUUGGUCAUGAUCAGGAACUUCCGCGAAAUUCAAACCCCCACUGUGUACUGGACUGAGGACGCGCGAUCUUUUGUCUUGUGGAGUUUUAUAUAACACAGUAAGAAGUCAUGUACCACACUUUGUCAACAAUAAAUGUUGUUUCUGCAAUCUGGAUAAAGAAUAAUAUAUUAUUACUGCCUCUUGGAGAACAGCCGACCGUACUCCAGACAGAGACAAAGACGUGAGGACAUCCAUUGCUUUUAAGUCAUGUACCACACUUUGUCAACAAUACAUGUUUUUCCUGCUAUCUGGAUGAAGAAUAAUAUAUUACUGCCUCUUGGGAAAACAGCAGACUGUACUCCAGACAGAGACAGAGACAUGAGGACAUCCAUUGCUUUUAAGUGCUAUACCAGACUAUGUUGUUCCAGCUGUCUGGGUAAAGACUGAUACAUUCCUGCCUCUUGGAGAACAACAAACCAUUCUCUAGACAGAGACAUCAAAACAGAAAAUGAAGCACGGUACUUGAUCUUGGAUUGUUUGGAGUGAACGUUGACAAAUAAUGAAGCAGGAAAUUAAAAUGCUUGUCCAAAACAAUUUUUGUACUUGGCUGUAAGAAGUCCUUUGUGUGCACAGACAUGACUGGAGAUUAAAGUUACUAAAUGUUGCUUUUUUCUAGCUGGUGACAUAACAUGGUAUUAUUUUCAAAUGUAUUUAUCUAAUACACAUUUGCACAUCUGUAAAC